UACGGGGGGAGCAAGCGUUGUUCGGAUUUACUGGGCGUAAAGGGCGCGUAGGCGGCCAGCACAAGUCAGUUGUGAAAUCUCCGAGCUUAACUCGGAAAGGUCAACUGAUACUGUGCGGCUAGAGUGCAGAAGGGGCAACUGGAAUUCUCGGUGUAGCGGUGAAAUGCGUAGAUAUCGAGAGGAACACCUGCGGCGAAGGCGGGUUGCUGGGCUGACACUGACGCUGAGGCGCGAAAGCGUGGGGAGCAAACAGG
rnacentral:rRNA from 1 species